AAUGAACGUUGGCGGCGUGGAUUAGGCAUGCAAGUCGAGCGCGAACCGUAGCAAUACGGGGAGAGCGGCGAAAGGGAGAGGAACACGUGGAUACGUACCCUCGGGUUCAGGAUAGCCAUGGGAAACUAUGGGUAAUACUGAAUAACAUCUCCGGAUCAAAGGUGUGAUUCCGCCCGGGGAGCGGUCCGCGUCCUAUUAGCUGGUUGGUGAGGUAACGGCUCACCAAGGCAAAGAUGGGUAUGGGGUGUGAGAGCAUGCCCCCACUCACUGGGACUGAGACACUGCCCAGACACCUACGGGUGGCUGCAGUCGAGAAUCUUCGGCAAUGGGGGAAACCCUGACCGAGCGACGCCGCGUGCGGGAUGAAGGCCUUCGGGUUGUAAACCGCUGUCAGAGGGGAGGAAAUGCCGGUGGGUUCUCCCAUCGGUUUGACCUAGCCUCAGAGGAAGGACGGGCUAAGUUCGUGCCAGCCGCCGCCGUAA
rnacentral:rRNA from 1 species